UUGGGGCAAGGGGCUGCACGGGGGAGGUUUAGGAGAAGGGAGAUUUAGGGGCAGGGAGGAGAGGAAGGGAGGUUUAGGGCUAGGGAGGCAUUUGUAGGGGCAGUGUCUGGAGAGGAAGGUUUAGAGGAAGAGGGUGGUGGAAGGUGUGUGUGUGGAUGGGGCAGGGAUGGCUCAGGGGAUUUAGGGGCAGGGGUUGCAGGAAGUGCAAAUAGGGCAGGGAAUGGUGAAGGGAGCUGGGGAGUGAGAUUUAGGGAAGUGGCUCAGGCCAGGGGGUGGCAGAGAGUGUGUGUGGAUAGGGACAGGGGACUGUGGUGAGAUUGAGGGGCAAGAGGCUGCAGAGGAUGGGUUUAGGGGCAGGAGGUGGCAGGCCAGAAGAUUUAGGGACAGGGAAUGACUGGGGGCAUUAGGGGCAGGGAGUGGCAGAGGGGGAUUGGGAUCAGGGAAUGGUGGAGGGCAAGGCUGUGGAUAGGGUGGAGGGUGGGGUACCAUGGGGCAAAGCCAUCUCAUUGUCUUGGAGAAAUUCUCUGGCCCCUUGCCUUCCCAAUGGAGAGGGCAGCACAGCCCCCACCAGGGCCAGGAAUAAACGUGUCCUUGUAGAAAAAGCAAUCCUCCUCUUCCAGGCAGUGGGAAUGUGUGCUCCCUGCUCGUGUCCUGGAACCCCCUGCACCCCAACAGCCCCUUGACCCCGAGAUCCAGCAGGAGCAGUGGCUCAGUGCCAGCAUCCAGGGUCCCCAGGGCAAAAGGGACUCUUCAACAGAAUCCAUUUUUAGGCCAUUUCAGGGUUAAUAAGGUUUCUCCAUUGCCAGGAUUACAGGAAUUGAACGCUCUCCACAAUUUUAUUUUAAUUCUAACUAAAUAAUAUGGCUAUAGGGAGCAGCGAAGGAAUGUUAAGGGGAGGGAGGAGAAAGGGGGAGAUGCUGAAGUCAGGUCAUUCUCAAGACUUCGGGUCUGUGAGGUCCACUGACUCAUCAGAGAGAGGAAUGUGGCACGGAUGGAUGCUGUGCACAGCAGUGAAUCUCAGGUCAGCUCCCUCAAAUUCGUCCGAUGGGGACUAAGGCUGAAAAUAUUCCUAAACUCAUUUUCUUUUUUCCUCUGGAGGGAGAUAAGAGUAAACAUGAAUCAUUCUUCUAAAAGUUUGAAAAGCAUUUUGUUCCAAGAAGAAAUAUGUGAUUUUUUUCCUUCUUCUUCUUCUUACAGUAACAAGUUCACAGAAAACUUCAGGAGGCUUUUACAAAGGCUUGUAAGCACUUUCAAGCUGGAGACUGUUUUUAUAUACAUACAGCACUUGCGUAACAAGGUCUCAACAGUGAAUGGGAUUCCAGGGUGCAGUUGCAAUAAAGUGAUUAAUAGUAUCAUUCAUGGUAUCAUACCUCAUUCAUAGGUUUCCUGUAAGUUAAGAGGAAUACAUUGGCAGGAACACAGUGGUUGUGACUUUAAACGCGAUACUCUUGGGGGGAAAAGUUACAGCUAACACAUGCACUGAAGGGCAGUGCAAUUAGUGAAGCUAUGUAAAAGGCUCAAGAAAAUAAUUUUUAGAGCAAAAGCCCACAAAGAUGAAGUUCUGAGCUAGUUCUAUGGCACAGAAAUAGCAAGGUGGAUAUUGCCACACAGCUGGUGAAACCAAGAACAGGAAAUAAGAUGUGUCUGUCAAAGGGAUGGGUCAGGGAUGAUCACUGUUUAUUCAGGAACACACAAGUAGGGUUUGGGUUUGUCGCUUCUUAAUCUGCACACAGUAAGGACUGAUUUUGUCACCAAAAUGUUUGCCACCAAAAUGUUUGUCACCUGCUUGUGGCAAAAAUCACUGAGAAGGCCAGGCAAGAUGCAAAAGGGAACAGAAAGCAGUUGUCAAAGGAGAAGCAAAUGUCCUGGCUGCGGGCUGCAGCAGUCAGGAUGCUUUUGGAGCCUCAAGAGAAGUGACAAAUAAUGGGUCAAUAUUUCCUAUAAAGCUGCUUAUUUCAUUUGAAGGCAAAUAAUGAGUCAAUAUUUCUGUUUAUUUCAUUUGGGGAAUAAGUUGUUAAACAGCUACCAUGUGGCUGAAGUAUGGAGAAAUAUGUGGGGUGAUAAAAUACGACCUAGUGUUUCACUGUACCAGCAUCCCCAUGAUCAGCUAAAACGAGACAUUUAGCUGGGUCCAAGAAAACAUCAGCCCUCGGGAGCAGGCGGGGUGAGUAACGCAGGAUCGCUCGGGCUGCGUCCCUGCCCAGGCUCAGGGCGCUCCCUGGCCAGCUCUGCUCCUAUUUUUAAUCCUCGCUGUGCUAUGAAAAGCUCCGUUUCACAGCACCUGAAUGGCUGCUCUGCAGGCAGGGACUCGGCAGCGCGUUUAUCACGCGCCUGUCAUCGCUUUUGAGGAAACGGGCCCAGGGCGUUUCGGAUGUUGUCCUUAAAGCCACCCGGUGGGACAGGCACAGCCUGGCCUUCCUGCACCAGGGCAGCUCCUGCUGCGUGGCACAGGCAAACCGAUCCACCCACCAGAGCUGGACCUCGGGGGAUUUUUGCCCAGGGGUUUAUGACACCCUGAAGUUUCAUUGAUUAAACUCCUUCCCAUCUUGUUUGCGGCGUUUCACGGGGAGGUGGUUACCCAGCCGAAAAGCUAAAAUGUUUUCCCUUCUUGCAACACAAAAGCCCAGGAGUGAGUAUUGUCACUGGAGAUAAUGUUACAGCCUUGGCAAGAUGACACUUUAAAACUUCAUCAGCCUUCCAAGAAUUUCGGAAAUAGCGGUGGAUAAAGGCAGCAAGUGCUAAGAGCAGGCAGUGCUUGCACGAAGAGCCCUUACCAGCAGCGCUUUCGAGAGCUGAUUUUUGUUUUCACUUAUCGUUAGAGCUGCACAGCUCAGACUGCUUUUAAAUAAUUAUACUUAACAGUUAAAAAACUCUCCUGUGCUAAAAUAAAUUUUAGCUGAGGUGGUUUAUGCUUUGCAGCCUCAUAUGACACUCAGUCUUUCUCGUGUGACUCCUGUAACAAGUCAAAUUCAUGUAUUUUGAUACCGCGCACGUGAUUAAGACACUUGGAUCACUUAAGCCUGCACAAAACUGCAGUGCUCGCAUGUCAUUUAUCUUAAAAUCCUAUUGUAGCGCUCCCGAAGUGUAAUUUCUUCAGUGAAUGGAAAUUUAUACUGACAGAGGUGUUAUAAAACAUGGAAAAUACUGGGAGGAGAGGACCCAGCAUUUUCUUUAUCUCUUCAAGUGUUCACUAACGGGGAUUUAUUUUUCAGCUCAGCGUUGGUUCACUGCGGGUUACAGAGCUCUGGUGCAAUUAAAGGGACCCAUUUCCAGACUUCUUAAGCAAUACUCACAUUACUUGCAACAGGUGGGAACUGUGUGCUGUGGCCUCAAGGCAGCAAACUGAUUCACAGGCUUCACUUUCCACAUUGGUCCCUAAAGCUACUUGCAGAAAAUCACCCAGCCUAAAGAAACUCCUGGGAUCCCAGCCUCUACCUCCCCGUUUUAAAAUGCAUGGGUCACCGUGCCAAAGGACUGCCUGAUGUUUGAAGUUCCUUUCAGUUGCCACUGAAAUCAUUGGAAUUCAGUUCUCCAGCGUUUGGGAAGUCCUGCCACAAUAGCAAUCCCCUGUUUGUAAUCAAGAGGAUUGCAAGAGCAAUCAAAUGCAUAUUGAGCUGAUGUGCAGCUCCCAGAAUUGUGGGGGCACAGAAUCAAGCUGAGAAGUACGUGUGCUAUAACUGGAGAAGCUGGUUAUUCUAAAGGAUUGAAAAUCAAGCUUUUCUUUCACAAGGAGAUGCUCACGUGAGGAAUAUCACAGGUUAUAUUUAGUGUUACAGAAACACAAGGGAAAUCUCAUUAGAGCCCAACGCCAAUGAUCAGUUAUAAAGGGAACAGGAGCAAUUUGUAAGCCCUGAAAAAAAUAGUGUGUCUGUGUUCUGCCCUGUCCUCACUGUCUGCUGCUGCUCAGCUUUCCUGAGAGAGGGGUCUGUGCCUGCCUGCUCAGUUAGCCCUGAUACAUCACGUUUUAUUUGCUGUGAGACUUGAGCAAUGAGCAGCAAACACUCCUGUUCCUACUUUAAACACAUGGAAACUGCAGAACAGAGAAAUAAAAUUACUUGCGCAGAGUCACAGAGCAAUUUCAUGGCAGGGCUCAGACCAGAGUCCAGCUCCCUUGCUCCCAAACCCAUGUGCCAGCCUUUCUCUUCUUUGACCCUUAAUUUUAAUCACCUUCCAAUAAAUUCUCCUGGCCCCUUCCAGUUGACUUCCAUGGGAGUAAUGCCAGGUAUCAAAUGAAGUCACCCAGAAUAUCCACGCAAAAGAAGGCAGUAUUAGAUGCAAAGAAAGAACUGAUGGAAGGGGAAAAGCAAAUUUUACAAAAAAAAAAGAAUAAAAAGGAAUAAGUUCUAGUGCCAGUUCCAUAAUAUCAUUCCCCUUUUAAUUUGUGCCUGAUCAAAAUUUAAAAAAAAAAAUAGAUUGCUAAUAUUAAUAAGUGAAAUGAAUCUUGAAUUUUAUAAUAGCGGAGGAAAUGAAAGGACCAAAGUAAUAUUGUGUUGUUAACUGAGAUUUUAAUAAUGAUUCUGUCCUCAGUUGGUGCAUUUAUUCCACAGAAAGUAAAUCAUUAAUGAAGAGGAGGGGAAAACAGUUUUGUGGUGAUGGAUUUUUGAAAGAAAAGUUUAAUUUUGCUUAACUUGUAGAAACUCUGAAAUAUGCUUGGAGCACUAAACCUAAACUACCACCACCUCAAAAAUGGUUUGUAGAGGUGGAAUUCAGCCAAAGGGCUGUCAGUGCCUGCGGUAGGAUGGAGAGAUGUCCAAGGCUCCAUUCCAGGAGAGCUGAGGUGAGUGAAGAGGUGGCUUAGAGAUGUUGGGGCUUAUCCUACAUUUUCUGUGGAGUUUUGCAAGAUCUGCUUCCACCAUGCCCUCUGCAGUGGGGAGGGUGGACUCGAACCCCUCUCAGUUCUGUGAGGGUAUUUGACUUCCCAGGUGAAGGAAAGUGCCCACCAAGGCUGAUGUGGCCACUGCCCACCACUACCUUCAACCACAUCCAAGCAGACCUCAAAAAAAGGCUCCCUGGAGCAGCAGCCCAUUUCACACUGAACCCACUGGUUUGGAAUGUCGAGCACAGGGAGGUUCAUGGUCACACAAUGGUGGAGAAGAAAAACGUCUCUGGAGCUGAGAUUUGCAGCCUAAGAAAAGCAAACACAGAACAUACAUCCCUGUGUGUGUGUGAAGGAGAUGGGGAAAAUGCACAAAUCCCCUGAUUCCUUAAUGAGCACAGCACCCCGACGAUGAAUGUAGAAAUUUGCAAAUUAAACCACAUUUCUGUAUCUAAAUUAUCAAAUCAAUAAAGAGAUGUAAACAUUAAACAACAUUAUAUGAGAGCCUGGAGUGUCACCACAAAAAAUUAAGACUAUGUAAUUAAAAGUAAAAUGCAAUUUAUUUUUAUAUUGUUCUUCAUUCAAAUCAACAAAUCUUAUUACUUACCCAAAAAUGUAAAGCAGGCUGCAAACUAAUUCAAAAGAUGAAGACAAAGUGGUUAUUGAAAAAACUAUGUUUCUUGUUCCCUUACAUCUGGCAACAGUCAUGAUUUAAUAUUUUAACUACUGUAAUAGGUUAUACUGCCAAAGAAAAGUGCAUUAAUUACUAUGGGAAACCUAAAGAAAUCUAAUUAAGAACAAUAAAAUCACUCUUAUUGACUGGGAAAAAUAAAACUACGUAAAGGGAAAUGAGGGAUGAAAAAACUGACAACACACAAAUACUAAUAAAUGUCUGCACAGGGUAGGAAACACACUUGUGCUGUUACUGGGGGUGUGGAUUUGAAGUCUGGCUGGAGAUCACAGUUUGGCUGAAGCUCUUCUCUCACCCACUGGAAGCAGCUUCUAAUUAGCUGCAGCUCAGGGAGUUGAGUUUGCUCCGAAUGCAGCCCAACAUGUCCAUGCAGAGCCAGUCCCACCGGCUGUGUCUGAAAAAACACACUAAUGUAGGAGAUGAAGCUGCAUUUCUGGGUGUAGUGUGGAGAAAUGGAAUCAUUAUCUCAAUGGGUGCCAUCCUUCCUGCAAAGUCAGAGAGGACACGUGUGAGGAAGCAGCCAUGUGUCCCAAAUACUCAACGUGUCCUGCCUGGGGACGCCACGGGGGAAAUCACCACAGGCAAAUGGGAAUCCAUCUCUCAACCAGCCACAGCCCUUUGAAGUCAUGUAAAAGGAGCCUUUCUGUGUGAAAUAUCCACCACCUUGUUUGCUCAGCCCCAGCUAAAGCCAUCUGUUGGCUUUACCAUAAGGAAGGACUUGCCUCCCUCUCCAUGCAUUCACGGGAUCCCCAGGCAUGCAGGGCUGCUUUGGGAGCAGGUGCAUCUUGUAUCGGCCAGAAGCAGCAGCCAAACGUGUUAGGAGGUGUUUGUAUUUUCCAGAUGUGAAACUAGAUGGGACUGUCUGGUUUUGUCAUUGUGGGGACUGGA